rnacentral:rRNA from 1 species
CUCCUGACAGCCCACCCACCCCCAUCACGACCUCUCUCUGCCUCGUUCCUCUCUGCUCUCGAUCCAGAGAACACAGCCACGACCUCGCCUGCCGGCCAUGCCCUCACCGACCACCACCUCUCCUGCCGGCUCCGGCCUCGCCGGCCAGCACAUCGACCGCCCGCCGUCCUCGGGCCUUCCCUCUUGGCCUCCAAAUCCAGCG